AAAAGAUGUUACUUAAAAUUGGGGCUUAUAUCUGUUGAUUUUUUAUUUUUCCUAUUUGCAAAGAAUAAAUUUUGUUUAUUGAUUAAACAUCGUAUUCAAAGGGAAGUAACUCAAAUUUGAGUUCUUCAAUUACAAACGAAUAAAGAGUUAUUCCCCUUUUUGUGAUAUUUUUUAGAUAAAGUUUCAACUUAGAACUGGUUGUUGACCCCUGACGUGUUUUCUCUGAAAUUUAAUUGAAUAUCAGUAAAUAUAAUUAUAAGAUUUUAAAAAAUGCCCUUAAAAUAUUAUUGGUGGAUUUAGCACAUUUCUUUAUAUUGAUCAUGUUAAUAGAAAACUUGUGUUUAUGUAAAUAGUUUUUGAACAAUAUUGUAACUAAGUUAAAGUGUACUGCUUUUUUAUUCUUCAAAAUUUAUUUUGUUUCUGUCUAUUUACGUUAACCAUGAAAUACAUAAUACUUAUAUACACAUGAUUUUUGGUGAGUUGUAGCAAGCUAUAGAUAGAACUCAAUAAAUGUGAUAUUUAUUCAU
rnacentral:sRNA from 1 species